rnacentral:tRNA from 1 species
GUCUUCGUGGUGUAGUGGUCAAGACGCUCGGCGCAUAUUCGAGAGGUCCGUGGUUCGAAUCUCGGCGAGGACA